rnacentral:pre_miRNA from 1 species
GCUUCAGGACUUGAUUCAGAGCCCAUUGAAGUCAAUGGGAGUUUUCCAUUGACUUCAAUGAACUUUGGGUCAAGUUCUUUGC